UACGGAGGGGGCAAGCGUUAUUCGGAAUUAUUGGGCGUAAAGGGCGCGUAGGCGGCUAGAUGUGUCAAAGGUGAAAUCCCUCGGCUCAACUGAGGAACUGCCUUUGAAACUGUCUGGCUUGAGGCCGGGAGAGGGUAGCGGAAUUCCCAGUGUAGCGGUGAAAUGCGUAGAUAUUGGGAAGAACACCGGUGGCGAAGGCGGCUCUCUGGACCGAGACUGACGCUGAGGCGCGAAAGCGUGGGGAGCAAACAGG
rnacentral:rRNA from 1 species